UAUCUGCCGUGGGCGCUGGAGAACUGAGGGGGGCUGCUCCUAGUACGAGAGGACCGGAGUGGACGCAUCACUGGUGUUCGGGUUGUCAUGCCAAUGGCACUGCCCGGUAGCUAAAUGCGGAAGAGAUAAGUGCUGAAAGCAUCUAAGCACGAAACUUGCCCCGAGAUGAGUUCUCCCUGAGACUUAGAGUCUCCUGAAGGAACGUUGAAGACGACGACGUUGAUAGGCCGGGUGUGUAAGCGCAGCGAUGCGUUGAGCUAACCGGUACUAAUGAACCGUGAGGCUUAACCUUACAACGCCGAAGCUGUU
rnacentral:rRNA from 1 species